AUGUUAGGAUUCGGUUGACCAAGC
rnacentral:miRNA from 1 species